GAUUUAUUUUGGCAUUUGAGACAACGUUUUUUUCUCCAAGUUCAUCCAAAUUUCUGAGAGACCAGUGUAAACGUUUCAAUUUAACGUUGCUAGGCUAGAACGAUGUUUCGAUCUUUAUGAUCACGUGACGUCAUCGUACGACAAUCGACAACCUUCGCCUUUGGUUGAACAGCCAGUGCGCCACGCGACAGUGCGCUCCACACAGGAGCUGUCUCGGACAAGCAAGACUAGUAGGACGCUGUCCGUUUACAUUGCGAAAACAGACAUUUAGCCACUGCUAUAAUCUGUAAUAAGCAGUCUUUCACAAAUUCAGAAUUUGUGUAAUUAAUUUAGCGCUUGUAAGAUAACUGUAAAAAUGUGCGAUCAUUGGAGACACAGAGGGCAUGGCGUCUCAAAGAAAAUAAGGGUUAGUGCAAAUGUAUGCAGACUCACGUGACGUCAUUGAUGCAAAUAAUGUAUUUUGGGAAUACUUUACUUUAUAAAUGAGUUAGGUACUUUGCUUAACUUCAUCUAUGAUAUUUAAUAUUGUAGAAAGUCGGAAGAAAACUGUCAGGCUUCAAUGGUCCACUUGCAGAGGUUGAAAUGUUGCCCAAUGGAUUGUCUGCUAAAAUAACGCAUUGUGACCUAUGGCGAGAGACCUCUGAUUCGGAGCAACAAAGACCAUUACCUACAUCAGAAGUUGCACGUUUCCCUAAAGCACAACCAUGCGGAGUCCAGUUAAACAGUGACGGCAGAUAUGGAUGUGUUUCAAUUACCAAGGAUGGGGUUAUAGCACUGUUCCUUCCAGACAAGAGCCCUACCUGUGCAAGAGACCUACCUGGAGUCCAGGAGCUAAGGCCAUGCUGUGAUAGGACUUUGCAAUUAAAGACAAGGCAAAGAAAGAACAUCGAAAGCAGCAACCUUUCCCUGCAGAAAACAUCAACACAUGGAUUGUGUGGUGGUGUGAUAAAUACUCAUGUCAUCAAUGUGAAAGGAGACAGCCAUAGAUCUUCAGCAUUGAGUUCUUUGGAUGGAGUUCCUUCCUCAUGUCAUAAUGGACCAGAACAUUGCCCAAGGUGUGAUGCUUGUUACAAUGGAGGAUUUCCCACACAGACCAAUGACAAAUGGAGAGAAGAACUUUCAGAACUGCCAAUGCCUGUUGCAGAAUCAGACCGAACAUCUAAAAAAGAACAAACCAUUUUACAAAGAGCCCUAAGGUUCCUGCCUUUGUUACACACUGUUUUUGUCCCAUUUUGCUCUCUGUUGGUGGCUGCUGACCUGUACUGUCAUUGGAAUGGAAGGUCAUGGUGCCCUGAGAGUGGCUUUUCUAGUCUAUUAUUUAGUGUAGCUUGUGACUACCAUCCUCCAGUAUGACUAGUUAAUCUCAAUGAUAGGAUGACAUUUUCAUAUAAGUCAUGCUCUCAUUAUUUCUGAUCUGUUAAUGAAAUAAAGAACUUCAUUUAAA